CCUACGGGAGGCAGCAGUGAGGAAUAUUGGUCAAUGGACGAGAGUCUGAACCAGCCAAGUAGCGUGAAGGAUGACUGCCCUAUGGGUUGUAAACUUCUUUUAUAUGGGAAUAAAACGUUCCACGUGUGGGAUUUUGUAUGUACCAUAUGAAUAAGGAUCGGCUAACUCCGUGCCAGCAGCCGCGGUAAUACGGAGGAUCCGAGCGUUAUCCGGAUUUAUUGGGUUUAAAGGGAGCGUAGGUGGAUUGUUAAGUCAGUUGUGAAAGUUUGCGGCUCAACCGUAAAAUUGCAGUUGAAACUGGCAGUCUUGAGUACAGUAGAGGUGGACGGAAUUCGUGGUGUAGCGGUGAAAUGCUUAGAUAGCACGAAGAACUCCGAUUGCGAAGGCAGUUCACUGGACUGCAACUGACACUGAGGCUCGAAAGUGUGGGUAUCAAACAGGAUUAGAUACCCCAGUAGUC
rnacentral:rRNA from 1 species